UACGUAGGGCGCAAGCGUUGUCCGGAAUUAUUGGGCGUAAAGAGCUCGUAGGCGGCUUGUCACGUCGGGUGUGAAAGCUCGGGGCUUAACCCCGGGUCUGCAUUCGAUACGGGCUGGCUGGAGUGUGGUAGGGGAGAUCGGAAUUCCUGGUGUAGCGGUGAAAUGCGCAGAUAUCAGGAGGAACACCGAUGGCGAAGGCAGUUCUCUGGGCCGUAACUGACGCUGAGGAGCGAAAGCGUGGGGAGCGAACAGG
rnacentral:rRNA from 1 species